AGAGUUUGAUCCUGGCUCAGGACGAACGCUGGCGGUGUGCUUCACACAUGCAAGUCGAACGAGGUAGCAAUACCUAGUGGCGGACGGGUGAGUAACGCGUGGGAAUCUGCCUUUAGAUGGGGGAUAACGGGUCGAAAGACUCGCUAAUACCGCAUAUGACGAAAGUUGAAAGGAGUAAUCCGUCUAAAGAUGAGCCCGCGUCCGAUUAGCUAGUUGGUAGAGUAAAAGCCUACCAAGGCGACGAUCGGUAGCUGGUCUGAGAGGAUGAUCAGCCACAAUGGGACUGAGACACGGCCCAUACUCCUACGGGAGGCAGCAGUGGGGAAUUUUACGCAAUGGGCGAAAGCCUGACGUAGCGACACCGCGUGAGCGAAGAAGCCCCUUGGGGUGUAAAGCUCUGUCAGCUGGAACGAAAAAAAUGACGGUACCAGCAGAGGAAGCAUCGGCUAACUACGUGCCAGCAGCCGCGGUAAGACGUAGGAUGCAAGCGUUGUCCGGAUUUAUUGGGCGUAAAGAGUUCGUAGGUGGUUUGUUAAGUUUGGUGUUAAAGAUUGGGGCUCAACCCUGAAACUGCACUGAAUACUGGCAGACUCGAGUGUGGUAGAGGCUAGUGGAAUUCCCAGUGUAGCGGUGAAAUGCGUAGA
rnacentral:rRNA from 1 species